GGUAGGGUAGCUCGCUGGCAAGAGCACCACCCGUCCGAGGUGGAGGCUGGUGGGAACCCGCUAGCCCCGUGUGGUUCGAAUCCCACCCCUACCG
rnacentral:tRNA from 1 species